UACGAGAGGCGCAAACGUUAUUCGGAUUUACUGGGCUUAAAGAGUUCGUAGGCGGCGCAGAAAGUAGGGUGUGAAAGCCCUCGGCUCAACCGAGGAAUUGCGCUCUAAACUACUGUGCUUGAGGGACCUAGAGGUGAGCGGAACUGAUGGUGGAGCGGUGAAAUGCGUUGAUAUCAUCAGGAACACCGGAGGCGAAGGCGGCAUCCUGGCCCUGACCUGACGCUGAGGCGCGAGAGCGUGGGGAGCAAACCGG
rnacentral:rRNA from 1 species